GGGGUUGUGGCUCAGUGGUAGAGCGCUUGCCUAGCAUGUACGAGGCCCUGGGUUUGAUCCUCAGCACCA
rnacentral:tRNA from 1 species